rnacentral:rRNA from 1 species
AGCGAACGCUGGCGGCAGGCCUAACACAUGCAAGUCGAACGAAGUCUUCGGACUUAGUGGCGGACGGGUGAGUAACACGUGGGAACGUGCCUUUAGGUUCGGAAUAACUCAGGGAAACUUGUGCUAAUACCGAAUGUGCCCUUCGGGGGAAAGAUUUAUCGCCUUUAGAGCGGCCCGCGUCUGAUUAGCUAGUUGGUGAGGUAAAGGCUCACCAAGGCGACGAUCAGUAGCUGGUCUGAGAGGAUGAUCAGCCACAUUGGGACUGAGACACGGCCCAAACUCCUACGGGAGGCAGCAGUGGGGAAUCUUGCGCAAUGGGCGAAAGCCUGACGCAGCCAUGCCGCGUGAAUGAUGAAGGUCUUAGGAUUGUAAAAUUCCUUCACCGGGGACGAUAAUGACGGUACCCGGAGAAGAAGCGCCGGCUAACUUCGUGCCAGCCGCCGAGUAA